rnacentral:lncRNA from 1 species
CUUCAGAGAAAUAAUAACCUGACUUCCUAUCCCUUUUACUGAUAACAAAACCAUUUUCCAAAAUAAACCUUUCGACAUGUUAUCUCCUUGCAGUCAUUUGCAGAGCUAUGUACUCACAUGUUUUAUCCUUUUUUUUUUCCUUUCUUUCUGACAGUAACAGCAAAGCCUCGCAGGCAAAGAUGUUUGUCGUUUCUGUCUGGAAGAGCAAUCAACUGGCAUGGAGGACAGUGAAGAAGGAAACCCUCAUUGCAGGAGUGGGCAUCACAUCUGGAGGAAGCUGCUGGCAGCUCAGAGACGCCGAACAGACGUGGACCAAACAGGCUGCAGUGACUGAUUCCCAGCUACCACAGGAGACUGCCUCAUACAGCUUCAUUCCUAAUUUAGUAGAGAAACCCAGAGGCGUAAAACAGAACAAACAGGUGAGUGUCACCAAUUCAGGGGAGCUUUAAAGAUGUUUUCCUGUUGGCUGUCUCCUGGGCUUCCUUCAUCUCCUCCUUUCCCUUUGCUUCCAAAACCC